UGCAAGUCGAGCGGACAGAUGGGAGCUUGCUCCCUGAUGUCAGCGGCGGACGGGUGAGUAACACGUGGGUAACCUGCCUGUAAGACUGGGAUAACUCCGGGAAACCGGGGCUAAUACCGGAUGCUUGAUUGAACCGCAGGUUCAAUUAUAAAAGGUGGCUUUUAGCUACCACUUACAGAUGGACCCGCGGCGCAUUAGCUAGUUGGUGAGGUAACGGCUCACCAAGGCGACGAUGCGUAGCCAACCUGAGAGGGUGAUCGGCCACACUGGGACUGAGACACGGCCCAGACUCCUACGGGAGGCAGCAGUAGGGAAUCUUCCGCAAUGGACGAAAGUCUGACGGAGCAACGCCGCGUGAGUGAUGAAGGUUUUCGGAUCGUAAAACUCUGUUGUUAGGGAAGAACAAGUACCGUUCGAAUAGGGCGGUACCUUGACGGUACCUAACCAGAAAGCCACGGCUAACUACGUGCCAGCAGCCGCGGUAAUACGUAGGUGGCAAGCGUUGUCCGGAAUUAUUGGGCGUAAAGCGCGCGCAGGCGGUUUCUUAAGUCUGAUGUGAAAGCCCCCGGCUCAACCGGGGAGGGUCAUUGGAAACUGGGGAACUUGAGUGCAGAAAAGGAGAGUGGAAUUCCACGUGUAGCGGUGAAAUGCGUAGAGAUGUGGAGGAACACCAGUGGCGAAGGCGACUCUCUGGUCUGUAACUGACGCUGAGGCGCGAAAGCGUGGGGAGCGAACAGGAUUAGAUACCCUGGUAGUCCACGCCGUAAACGAUGAGUGCUAAGUGUUAGAGGGUUUCCGCCCUUUAGUGCUGCAGCAAACGCAUUAAGCACUCCGCCUGGGGAGUACGGUCGCAAGACUGAAACUCAAGGAAUUGACGGGGGCCCGCACAAGCGGUGGAGC
rnacentral:rRNA from 1 species